AGAACGAACGCUGGCGGCAGGCUUAACACAUGCAAGUCGAACGCGUGUAGCAAUACACGAGUGGCGCACGGGUGAGUAACGCGUGGAUAUCUGCCUUUUGGUUCGGAAUAACCCCGGGAAACUGGGGCUAAUACCGGAUGGUUCCUACGGGAUAAAGAUUUAUCGCCAAAAGAUGAGUCCGCGUCCGAUUAGCUAGUUGGUGGGGUAAUGGCCUACCAAGGCGACGAUCGGUAGCUGGUCUGAGAGGACGAUCAGCCACACUGGGACUGAGACACGGCCCAGACUCCUACGGGAGGCAGCAGUGGGGAAUAUUGGACAAUGGGGGCAACCCUGAUCCAGCCAUGCCGCGUGAGUGAUGAAGGCCUUCGGGUUGUAAAGCUCUUUCAGCAGGGACGAAGCGCAAGUGACGGUACCUGCAGAAGAAGCGCCGGCUAACUACGCGCCAGCAGCCGC
rnacentral:rRNA from 1 species